UACGUAGGGUGCAAGCGUUUAAUCGGAAUUACUGGGCGUAAAGCGCGCGUAGGUGGUUUGUUAAAGUUGGAUGUGAAAUCCCCGGGCUCAACCUGGGAACUGCAUUCAAAACUGACAAGCUUAGAGUAUGGUAGAGGGUGGUGGAAUUUCUGUGUAGCGGUGAAAUGCGUAGAUAUAAGGAAGGAACACCAGUGGCGAAGGCGACCACCUGGACUGAUACUGACACUGAGGUGCGAAAGCGUGGGGAGCAAACAGG
rnacentral:rRNA from 1 species